rnacentral:rRNA from 1 species
UAGGGAAUAUUGGGCAAUGGGCGAAAGCCUGACCCAGCCAUGCCGCGUGAAUGAUAAGGCCUUAGGGUUGUAAAGUUCUUUCGCUAUCGAGGAUAAUGACUGUAGAUAGAUAAGAAGCCCCGGCUAACUUCGUGCCAGCAGCCGCGGUAAUACGAAGGGGGCUAGCGUUGUUCGGAAUCACUGGGCGUAAAGCGCGCGUAGGCGGAUUAGUAAGCUAGAGGUGAAAGCCUGGGGCUCAACCCCAGAACUGCCUUUAGAACUGCUAGUCUGGAAUAUCGGAGGGGGUGGCGGAAUUUCUAGUGUAGAGGUGAAAUUCGUAGAUACUAGAAGGAACACCAGUGGCGAAGGCGGCCACCUGGACGAUUAUUGACGCUGAGGCGCGAAAGCGUGGGGAGCAAAC